rnacentral:rRNA from 1 species
ACUCCUACGGGAGGCAGCAGUGGGGAAUAUUGCGCAAUGGGCGAAAGCCUGACGCAGCAACGCCACGUGUGUGAUGAAGGCCCUUGGGUCGUAAAGCACUGUUAGGAGGGAAGAAUUUUGACGGUACCUCCAGAGAAAGCACCGGCUAACUCCGUGCCAGCAGCCGCGGUAAUACGGAGGGUGCAAACGUUGCUCGGAAUCAUUGGGCGUAAAGCGUACGUAGGCGGCCUACCAAGUCUGAUGUGAAAGCCCGGGGGCUCAACCUCGGAAUGCCAUUGGAAACUGGUAGACUUGAGAGCAGGAGGGGCAAGUGGUAUUUCUGGUGUAGGGGUGAAAUCCGUAGAGAUCAGAAGGAACACCGGUGGCGAAGGCGACUUGCUGGACUGUAUCUGACGCUGAUGUACGAAAGCGUGGGGAGCAAACAGGAUUAGAUACCCUGGUAGGAUAGCG